AGUAAUGUCUGGGAAACUGCCUGAUGGAGGGGGAUAACGACUGGAAACGGUAGCUAAUACCGCAUAACGUCGCAAGACCAAAGUGGGGGACCGUUCGGGGCCUCAUGCCAUCAGAUGUGCCCAGAUGGGAUUAGCUAGUAGGUGGGGUAACGGCUCACCUAGGCGACGAUCCCUAGCUGGUCUGAGAGGAUGACCAGCCACACUGGAACUGAGACACGGUCCAG
rnacentral:rRNA from 1 species